rnacentral:rRNA from 1 species
UACGGAGGGUGCGAGCGUUGUCCGGAAUCACUGGGCGUAAAGGGUGUGUAGGUGGCGCCGUAAGUCGGGUGUGAAAUCUCGGGGCUUAACUCCGAAACUGCAUUCGAUACUGCGGUGCUUGAGGACUGGAGAGGAGACUGGAAUUCAUGGUGUAGCAGUGAAAUGCGUAGAGAUCAUGAGGAAGACCAGUGGCGAAGGCGGGUCUCUGGACAGUUCCUGACACUGAGACACGAAGGCCAGGGGAGCAAACGGG